rnacentral:lncRNA from 1 species
GCAUAUGGAGGUUUCCAGGCUAGGGGGCUAAUCAGAGCUGUAGCCACUGGCCUACAGCACAGCCAAAGCAACGCCAGAUCCGAGCCACGUCUGCAACCUACACCACAGCUCACAGCAACGCCGGAUCCUUGACCCGCUGAUCGAGGCCAGGGAUAGAACCCAAAACCUCACGGUUCCUAGUCAGAUUCAUUUCCGCUGUGCCACGAUGGGAACUCCCAUUUUUUUUAAAAUAUGUAUUUCUAGAUCAAUUUUAUUUAAUUUUAAUUAUUAUUUUUUGCUACACUCAUGGCAUGUGGCAGUUCCUGGGCCAGGGAUCCAAGAGCAGUGACAGUGCCAGAUCCUUAACCCACUGUGCCACAAGGGAACUCCUCAGUGGUAAUUUUUAAGUGUGCCAAGAUGGGAAGUGGAUUGGGAAGUGCAGCUCUAGGCUUGCUGACCUUUUCAUGGACCUUCUCUCUACAGGAUCCUGGGCCAGUUUGUCCCUUGUAAAAUGGGCAUAUUAACUCUGCCUCAGAGUUCCCAUUACAGUUCAAUGGGUUAAGAACCUGAUAUAGUCUCUUUGAGGAUGCAGGUUCAAACCCUAGCCUCACUCAGAGGGUUAAGGAUCCGGCAUUGCCGUGAGCCAUGGUAUAAGUCGCAGAUUCAGCUCAGAUCCGAGUUGCUGUGGCUCCACAGCCACGCCAGAUCCUUAACCCACUGAGCGAGGCUAGGGAUCCAGCCCGUGUCCUCAUGGAUCCUAGUCGGGUCUGUUACCACUGAGCUACGACGGGAACUCCAUUACAAAGUUUAACUCAAACUUUCCUAAAACCUAUGAUGUAGGUACAAUUAUUCCCAUUUGACAAAUGAGGAAACUGAGGCACGGAGAUGAUACAUAGCUUGCCAAGGUCACACAGCUCCUAAGCGGCAGAGCUGAGAUGCCACCCACUGUACCACCGAGUCCCUACAGUUAUGGUGGGCAGAACAGGGGGGAGCAGGGGAAGGAGUCCUGGUCCUAAACGCGGGCUCUCCCUUCGCCUGCUCUUUGCCAGCCUGCUUCCUUCUCAUCCUGACCUCCGUCUAAGGCCACUAGCAAGAGACUGUGGCCUGGAGGGGUUCCACCAGCCCAGGAGGCAGAGAUGCCCACUUGCUGUAAGCGCUGGCCUGAGGGUCCUGGAAGGCACAAUCGGCCGGCUGGUCACCCCUGCCUCUCAAAUUCUCUACUUGGCAUGUUCACGAAGCCUGGUUGAAGGAAGGCCUCCAGAAUCGCCGGUGCCCCGGACCCUCGGCAUGCCCACCCGCUCAUCUGCUAUGGAGCUGGGCUCUGGGCUCCUGGGUGAGGGUCGGGGAUGCCCGCUCCAGAGCUGGGGACAGGCCUCUGGGGACCAGUCUACAGAAGGAGCUGCAGAUCCCCAGCUCAAGCGCGACAGAAAGGUGGGCUAUUGAUUGAGUUACUGUUCUACCAAGUGCACAGUACAUGAAACCAAGUACUGGGAAUGCCACUGCGACAACCCACUGAGGCAGGCAUUGUCCUUCCCACUUGACACACGAGGGAAGCGAGCUCAGUGACGCCGAGGUUGCCCGUGCACAGUCCUCCAUCAAGUCAGUGCUGAUGGCACCACCAGCGAUGCCAUCUGUCACAUUCUCAUCUCUGCCCUCCUCUCCCUCUGUGCGCAGCCACUGAGGGCUGCUGGCCCCAGGGCCAUGCUGUUCCCUCCACCUGGAGGGCUCUCCCCCAACUUGGGCCUUCAGAGUUGGGUCUCUAGCAGUGUGAGUGGGUGGGGCCCAGGGCAAGACGACGUGGAGGAGGAGGCGGGUAACACCGGGCAAAGCCCCCUGGCUGGAGCUGGGCGUGGUCACAGCAGCCUGCAGGAGGCUGGGAGGUACGGAGCCCCUGCUGGGAGUCAAGGACGUCCUACCUGGCACCCGAGACCCCAGGCCUCUGUCUUCCCUACCCCUUCUUCCUGCAAGAACUUAGGGGUCAGAAUCAACCAGACCGUCAAAGCCAGAGCCAGCGCUAGUUCAUAUGGUCCCUUUGUGCUAAUUAGAAAAAGUCCCCUUCCUCUGGAGACCCCCGGGCUCACACCAGGGCACAUGGCUUGGGGAGCACAGUAUAGGCGGGGUUUCAGCUCCUUGAGCCAGAUCCCCUGCACGGCCCCACACAGUGACUCCGCUCGAAAGGCCCUCCCAAGCUCUCGCUUCUCUUCCCUGCCUUGCCAGGAGCCAGGCUCCAUUCCGGCCCUGCCCCUAAGCAUCCUUCUGGCCUUGAUCAGGUCCCCCAGACUGCGCUCCCAGGCCCGGGGCCCACUCCCCGAGACCUCUACAUCAGGGCCCGCUAGGGGCCACCGUCCAGCACCAGUGUUGCUGAGUGGGAAGCUGCCCGAAGGCCUAGGACCAUGAGCAUGAACUUUCCAGAAGGAAGCAUGUCCCCUUUCCAAAGAGAACUUCCUUGCAUAGCAGCCAGGCCUUGAUUUGUGCAGACCCCACCUCUGCUGACAGACCCCCCACUGGGCGCAGGCCCUGUCCCUGCAGCCCCGCUCUGGGCACUGCAGCUCAGGACACGGAGCCCUCCAGAGGCCAGGCCCUCAAGCUCCCCGCCCACGGCGUGCCGGACACCUUGUGCCAGACGCCCACCGCAGAGCACGGAGCCUUGUGGCCAGCUGAGCGGGAGGGUGGCGGCAGGGGCCACACCCUUGUGGGCCAAGACUUCAGUCCCACCUGCCAGCGCAGGACCGUUGCCAUGGAAGCAGAGCGCCCCGACAGGUGCGUGUGGCCCGUCCACCAGCUGCCUGGCCCCGACAUCAGAUAACGGGCCCCUGCCCCGGCCGAGGUGAGGACCGGAGUGCCUGCAUGCAGCCUUGGCAAACCACAGGCUGCUCUAGACCCAGCGCGGCCCCGAGGCACCCUCGGAGCUAGCGGAACCUUGCUGAGCUGAGUGGCCUGGCCCACAGCCUCCAGUGGUUUCUAUGCAUUCGUUUACUUUUGUUUUCCUUCCUCCUCUUUGAGGUAAACGCCCCUCAGGACAGGAUGUUUUUAGAGGAAAAUAUAAGCUUCCGGGAGCUGCUGCAGCCGAGCUGCUAGCUGAUACCACUGACACACUGGUAACUGCAGCGGCCCCCUGCCCAGCCCAAUGCCCAGCCACCCAGGAGUCUGCAGGCUGCGGUGGCACAGCCUCGGCUCAGGCUACCUUUGGCAGUAGGGAAGCAAGGCUCGGGGAAGAAAAGGCACUUGAGGACGAGGCUCUGUAGCAAGAAGGGCUGAGAGCAGCAGCGGCAGCCCCGCCAGGGACAGCCCCCUCCGUGCCUGGCACCCCGCAGAGCCCCACAUGCCCACCGGAACCCCACCAGCCCUCGCCACCACUGUGUGAUGUGUGUGCAAAGACGGUGCACAGAGGAAAGGGGAGCCGGGAGAGCGUGGACGACUUGCCUAAGGUCUCAGAGCCAGCAGUGACACAUCUGGAUUUGAGUCCCACGCUCUGGGGUUCCCGGCCUGUGGUCGCUGCCACUCAGUGACAGGACAGGCCUCACAGGCUGGCUGGUAGCACGGCAGCAUGGAGACCACACGUGUGAUGCCCAGGAGCCAAGGGACUGCCAGCUUCUCCCUGCCCCACACUGGGUCCCCUCAGUAAGACCUGUCCCACUCAGGACCUGGGAUCACCGAUUCUGCCAGCGAGACCCGGGCAAUAGUCUUUCUUGGAAAAGAGUGACCAGUGGCGUGGCCCUGGCCUCCACUGAGCCUGCGGGGAGGGUGUUUUCACUGCCCUCAUUCGAGGUGCUCGUGGUCCUCAGCUGAAAUUGACGAAAGGAACCAGGGCAGGUCACGUCUCCUGGGUCUGGCCUUGGCUUUUCCCCGCCACACGCGAGGCGGCGGGGACAGCCACUGGCAGCCGGGAUGGCUCUCACCGGGUUUGUUUUUGCUUAUUUUUGUUUUAUACCAGGGCUGGAUAGAAGGGUAAGCCUGCUGCCUAGGAGUGGAGCCGCCAGAGCUGGGCAGGGCCCAGCGAGGCAGAGGCUGACGGUCGGCCAUGGCUGGAGGCUGGGAGGCAGGGGGACAGGGGGGGGAUCUCCCCCAGCCUCGGCACUGCACCCCUGCCCUGAUUAAUUCCAGCCGGCUUCUGAAGGGCAAAGACAAGAUGAGGGUCUCUGAGUUACCUAGUCUGUCCCGCUGCCUGUACCAGCCCCAGGAGGACAGUUCUGCCCCAGGGCCUCGGGCAGGAAGCUCACUUGGGUCUAACCUCUGCAGCUACUGCCAGUGAAGGCCCUGGGGGCUCUGCCUAGACUCAGUCCAGCGGUUUUAUCCCCAGGGAACAAGGCAAGGUGUUGUUGGGGGCUUCAGACCCCAGAAUGGUCCCAGCCAAGGCCCUGGGGCCCAGUGUAAGCAGACAGAGGGGGGCCCUCCUAGGUGGGACCUCUCACGAGGGUGAGCUGGGGGUUCCCGAAGCCACACCCAACAGCCUUGACAGAUACACACCUGGGUCCACCAGGGUGAAAACACAGGGGAAAGGGUGAAAUACCACAUUCCUGGGGGGUGAGGAGCGGGGAGCGAUGGGACGGGGGAGCAAAGAGGACCCAGCUGUAGCUAGAAAACCCAGUUUGUCAAAAAUGAGGGGAUAGAUACGUUGCCUAAGUGGCGAGGCGGCAGGUGGCAGGGCUCCAGAGGGGCAGGUGCCCGAGUUUACACCUCCCCUCUGGCAUUGCACAAGUGCAACCAUCUCCCUGCUUAAGGGCUCCGUCUGUAUCACGUCCGGAUCUCAUGGGGGUUAAGCAAAGUAAUACUUGCGUCGGCUACUCUUUUAAACAUUAAUGAAGAAGAAAACAAAAGACAAAGGCCAGCAUGUCCCUAGACCAGAGCUUUUUAGGAAAGUCAGCCGCUGUGCCAGGCCGGGCCCACUGGCCCUCGAGUGCCUUUGGACAGGGCUGCUGGGCCAGACUCCUGAGCUUCUGAACGGCCUUCACUGACCAGAGCUGGGGUGGAAGCCCCCAGCGGGGUUGGCAGGCCGCUCUGGGUCCCCAGCAACUCUCCCAAAGGGUUUGGGGAGAGGACACCCAUGCCCAGCGACACCCUCAGAUUCCUCAGGCCCGCCAUUCCCCUUGGCCCAGAGCCUAGGACACUCUCGAGUCCAUCCCUGGACCACAUGGGGGAGGGCCCCCGGCCCCGAAGUCCAAAAGUGAGCUCCAAGCUCAGCCAGGACCAAGGCCAAAUUAGAAAAGAAGGAAUCCAACUAGCCAUGGUUCUUAACUGUCCCUGCAUCAAGCGUCAAGCCUGACGUAACCUCAAAUGUCAUUUAUCCAGUUUCCCAGGUAACAGUUAUUCGGGCAGUCCUGAGAUCCUGCUUUCAACCCCUUUAGCCCCGACCCUACCAGGCCUCCUGUGCAGCCCAGUCCCGUCCCACGCCCGGGAGGGGCAGGAAGGGCCAAGUCUUUCCUUGAGGCCAGAGGAAUCCAGCUCACCCACCCAAAAGGAGCAGCGCGAAUGUUCACCUCUGCAGCCUGCAAAGCCCCCAACUCAGGCCACACGAGCAAAGGGGCAGAGCACGGGCUUUAGAGUAAACCAGCCCUGAGUCCAUGUCCUGACUCUGCCAAGUACUAGCAGGUCCUUAACUUCUCUGAGCCUCAGCUUCCCCAUCUGUAAAUUGAGAGCAAUAAUUGUAUGUAUUUUCUUGGCCUCUUGUCAGGAAUCUUGAUACUGGAAUUAAAAGUCCCUGGCACAGGUAGGGCAUUUGGGAAGUUCGUGACACAUGCACUAUUGCUGCGGCUGUUGUUAAUCUUUCAGCGACACACAGUAGGUUUACGAGCACCUACUAUGUGUCAUGCCCUAUGCCAGCCAUUGAGAUUCCAGGCACGGAUGUGGCCCUGGCCCUGUAGAUCCUUUCCAGCCCUUUUGAUCCCAGCCACCACCCCUUAAACCCCCAGCUCAACCUGGCCAUCAACCCUUGUGGCCUCCGCCAUCCCAACUGCAUCUGUCCCCACACCCUCUGGACUAUGGUCAGUCACCCCCCCUCCCAGCCCCACCCACGGGGGGUUGCCCACCACAGCUGGGAGGCUCCCAGGCUGGGUACUGCUUCAAAGCCUGCCGGCAGGCUCCGAGCAGCUGCUGUAACCAGGCAUAUGCUCGGGCCGCCCGCCUGGCCCCGGCUGUGCCCAGCAGAGACCUCACCACAGCUGCUGCAAGCUCUCCACAGGCUGCUUCUCGGCGUCCUCGAGGGCCGACCCACCCUCUGCCUGGCCGGCCACCGGGCCAGCCACAGAACCAUCUGAUUUGAAUGAAACUUCAAACUUAAUGACUUUCAUGCUGGUUAUUUAAAACGCAAUGUAAUUUUCUUAAACACCCUAUUAUUUCCUUUGAUAGCUACAAAGCUUCCCCCAAUCCCAUAAGCAUGUUUAUUUUUAGGGAAAAGAGUGGUUUGCAGUCGGUCACAGAGACCGUAGGGAGAGGGAGCCCGCAGAAAGCAGGGCCAAGAGUCAAGCUGAGCAGCCCGGAGACCCACGGCUGCCCUGCCUGUGUGUCGGCGGAGCCCUGCCCUUCUCACACCGGCACAUCCACCAGUGGCCCUCCUGUCCCCUCUCCGCCAGUGGCCAAGCCCUCUCGUCUGGGCUGCAGUGUCCUCAUCUGUAAGAUGGUGCCAGUGGCUUCCCACAGACACGCCAGGCACACGUGGGGCUGCGGAAGGGGUCCUGGGGCUGGUGACAUACCCCCAGCGACCGCCUCCUGGCUUCUCCAGACAUUCUGCCCCGGGUGAGGCCUUGGGGCCUGAAGCUUUGACCAGAUCCUUGAGAUCUGUGCCCAGAUAAAGGGGCCCCGGGCGGUGGCUGCCCACACCGCGAGGGUGGGGAGGAGUGGCCCUGCCAGUUGGGGCUCCCUGGCAAGGGAGGCAGCCUGGUCGUGGGUGUGCGUGCAGAGGUCAGCCGAGCCCCACCAAUGCGGGGCGUCCUCUGAGAGUGGCUAUUUUUAGAUCCCAGGCUUUCAUGUGGCCGAAUGAUGUGGAGUUUACAAAGCAUUGGUAAUGCGUUUCAGAUGGCGGCCCAGCAGACCCGGAGACUGGGCCUGCUGCCACCAGAGCCAGGUCAGAGUUAGUCAGACACCCUCUGCUGGACUCCCAUCACCUGUCCUUCCCUGUCGCCUGAUGGGGAGGCUGGGCCUGGAGCAGCCCUUGCAACGCCCAACAGAGCCCCGCCCGCGGCCCACAUGGGACCAGGCCUCUCCAGCUGCCACUCAUCUGCACCUCAGAAAUCCUCCUGGCCAGGGACCUGCACCCCCGUUUACAGAAGCAAACAGACCUGGAGGGGUAACAGCUUUGCGCGAGGUCACAGAGCCAGGGGAGGAGGUGGCCCUGGUCCCUGGCUGCCUUACCCAUCACAGCCCCCUCCGCUCAUGGGCACACUGGGCUUUCUGGGAGGGGGGUGAUCUGCCAUCCCUGGUGAGGCCAUGGUGGGCUGGCGCAGCUCUAACCAUGCAACCCCCAGAGCCCACGGACCCCUGGGGCCACGUCCUGCCCGUCCAGCCACACAGUCACCCCUUGAAAGCAGAGAGUCUCCCGUCCUUGGAGAGAGACAGAGGUGGUUGUUUGAAAGGCAGAGGCAAAGGCGUUGAUGAAGCAUCUGCUUCCUCUGAUCUCCAAGGAGCUUUGGCCGAGGGGUUGGCUGGGGCGUGAAGGCUGUGUGUCACCAUCUCCCUCUGGGCUCUGAAGCCGCAUCUGCUGGCACAGCAGGCAGGCAGCCUCCCCUUAAGACUUAAGAGAGGGCCACGCUCAGGCCUGCCUUGGGCCAGGCCCCCCAUCCAACAAGGGACAGUCCCUCUACCCACCAGGGGACUGAGCCAAGGGGAGCCCCGGGCAGGACCAGGACGGGCCAAACCCUCUGACCAGGACAAACCUUCCCUGGCUACAGCACGCAGAUGACACGUGCCAAGGCUGAUGUGGGCCAUGCCUUUUUAAGGGUGGCACCCGCGUCCAAACCCCAAAGAUCACAGGUUGGCGAGCUGAGGCAGAAACCGCCUGAAGGGAGAAGCUAACAGGGUCCUGGGUUCUCAGAGACCCUCCGCAGACUCCUGGGGCCUGGGGUCCUGCGAGAGACAGGGCUCUUGACAGCGGUUGUCCACACCGUGGCUCAGUGCCCCUCCGUCAACAGGGGCCAGACGGCUUGACUCAUGACCCUGGACAAAGACGGAGCGAAUGAAGCCACCUGCACCCGCGGCCCUCCCACCUUGCCUGCUCCGGCUCACUGGGGUCUCCCGGGCCCAGAGCCCACUGUCC